UGGGACGAUGGGGGGCAGUGGGGGCUGGGGGAGACCGGACAUGGGGGGCUGGAGCGCUGUGGGGGCGCGGGGGGCGAUGGGGAGGGCAGCGGGAGCCUGCGAGGGAGGAUGUGGGGCUGGGGGCAGCGGGGGGACCGGGGCCAAGCCCGGCUUGGGGGCCGGACGGAGGAGGCGGGGCGGGGGGCCGGUGGCUGCCCGGGAGGGGCGGCCGUGCGGCAGGGGCUGCCCGGUGCCGACGUGUCCGUCCCGUGAAUGCUCCCGGCGUUCCCCGAGCGACCCCCGGCGCGGCCGCCUGCGAGGCCGGUUUUACAGAUGCAGAAAGCAGAACUUAAGAUGCGUUGCUCGUCUGUCUUUCCACUGGAUUUAUCACUGGUGCAAUCCAAACUCCAAAACUUCGUUCCCCAUGUAGUAGGGAGUACUGAUAAAGUGGUUUCUUUACUUGA